ensembl:lncRNA
GAGUGAAAGAAAUCUUUGGUUUUGCCUUUGCUGACUGCUGAUCUGAUCGUCUCAAGUCUGGACUUGGAUGAGAACAAGAUUUAUGCCAAUCCCGAGGUAACUGCAGCGCUCCAAACCAUGAGACAAGCCAGCGUUGAGGAAAUGAUGCCUCUUCUUCAGGUCAGAGAAACAGCCAGCAGACCUGACACUCUUACACUGAUCCAUCACAAUACGGAAGAGUCUCACCUCCAAGGCUCCUUUGUUGCAGACAGUCUUCAUUUGGACGGCUACACCAUGUUCAAACGCAACAGACAUGUGUCCUACACAAACUUUCCUCACAUGGCCAGCAGAAGUGGUGGUGGAGUUGUUGUGUAUUUGAGGAAUCAUUUUCAGGUUCAGACCUCCAGACUACAGUUUGGCACCGUUCAUGCAAAACCUGCCACAGCAGAAUCUUCAUUCAGGUGUCCUGAGGACAUAUUACAGUUACCACAACCCUGUGUUUUGUGUCCUGUCCUCCAGCCAAUCAUGAAGUUGUCUGACAGGGCACACACAGUCCUGUUUCCUUUGUGGGAAAACCUUCAAACUUCACCAUCCUCAGCUGAAACAACAACAUCUUAACACCAUCUUCAUGAACUGCUGAGCCAAACCUGAUCCAUCAGUGCUGGACUGCACAGAUAACUACAUGCCACAAGGAGACUGCUGUUUUAUGAACUGCCAUACCAGUGUGUCUUCAAUGGAGAAGAUGACACACCCAUCACCUGACCUCCUGCCUGAUCUGGAGACCAUCAUCAUGCUGCCACACUACACACCUCUGAGACCAUCAAUGAUGACUCAUACUGAGGAAACUGUAUUUGCUGUCAGAAAUGCUCAGUGAUCCUCAGAGCAGAGAGAGGUAUUGCUGUCUUCUGAGUUCUUCAGUGUCCCAACUGAGACAUUCAAACCUCAUCACAGAGCUCCUGUCUUUCCUCACCAUCAUGUGAGUGUGAGAUUGCUCUGGAUUCUGGUUAUGUGGCCUGCAGCACCUAUAAGAACAAGCUCGUCCUGUGUGCCUGCAUUCCAGCUUCUUAGACUCUACGCAAGUGGACAGAGUAUCAGUGUUUGGCCACCCUUACAGACACCGACUUCUGUCAACUCACUGCUACUGAUCAGGCACCUCACUCCAGGAAGACAGAGGGCUGCAAGCCUGUCAUCGCUU